rnacentral:rRNA from 1 species
UACGUAGGGGCCGAGCGUUGUCCGGAGUUAUUGGGCGUAAAGCGCGCGCAGGCGGCUUGGCGCGCCCGACGUGAAAGCCCCCGGCUUAACCGGGGAGGGUCGUCGGGUACGGUCAGGCUUGAGGGCGGGAGGGGGUGGUGGAAUUCCCGGUGUAGUGGUGAAAUGCGUAGAGAUCCGGAGGAACACCAGAGGCGAAAGCGGCAUCCUGGCUCAGCACUGACGCUCAGACACGACAGCAUGGGGAGCGAACGGG